GCUGCAACAACUGCGAAACUAUCCUUCGAAGUCAACACAAUGACCGAUGUUGUUAAUUAUAAAAUGAAUGAAACUCUGUCGUGCGACGUGUAUACCCAAAUUAUUGAAAAGCAAGUAAAAUCAUCAUUUAUAAAUGACAAAUCUCACGUAACCAAUUCCUCUUCAGCACAAGACUGUGAUUGUAGUAGUUCUUGUGAAGGAUCGAAAAGAAUAUGUGUAGUAAGAGAAUCCGCAAUAAACACAGAAUUAUCACGAAGAAUUACCUUCGAUAGCAAUACCAUUAAUAGUUCUUCAACAAACACACA